AGCAUCUUGAGAAAUAAUGAAUC
rnacentral:piRNA from 1 species